UACGUAGGUGGCAAGCGUUGUCCGGAUUUACUGGGCGUAAAGGAUGCGUAGGCGGACAUUUAAGUCAGAUGUGAAAUACCCGAGCUUAACUUGGGUGCUGCAUUUGAAACUGGGUGUCUAGAGUGCAGGAGAGGUAAGUGGAAUUCCUAGUGUAGCGGUGAAAUGCGUAGAGAUUAGGAAGAACACCAGUGGCGAAGGCGACUUACUGGACUGUAACUGACGCUGAGGCAUGAGAGCGUGGGGAGCAAACAGG
rnacentral:rRNA from 1 species